GUGCUUGCUUUGGCAGCACAUAUACUAAAAUUGGAACGAUACAGAGAAGAUUAGCACGAUGACACGCAAAUUCGUGAAGCGUUCCAUAUUUUU
rnacentral:snRNA from 1 species